GGAGAGUUGCAGAUAAUUGAAAUUUUUGACAUACAAUAGAGGAAGGAGAGUUGCAGAUAAUUGUAGGAUCAAGUCACCAAUCCAACAACACUCUUUGCCCACGUAAAAAGGUGGUGCCAUCACCAGUCACCAAGUUCCGACACGAUAGACACCCGGAGUGGACAAAGCACUAAAAAAGGAAAAGCUGUAGGAAGAAGAGCAGCGGCGAGGCCACCGGUGAACCCUGCUGCUAAACGACAGGCCACAUCUCAACCAGAACUCACCAAUCCUUCAAGUGCACCCAAAAAAAGAAGGCUUGAGAUGCCUAUCGAACCACCGCCCACAUCUGCCACAUUUGCCCCCGAGACUGACCAAGAACAAAUCGUGAGGGAAUUCUUGCAAAAAUUUGGUCGAGGAGCAAAGGGCAGUGAGGUUUGCAGAUCCGGUUAAACCACCGCUACUCCAUCUCAGACAAACCCACCGCAACCUCCCAUCUGUGAGACACCUGCUCUCCACACUGAGUCUACAGAAGCAGGGGAACCGCACAUCCACACAUGGCCAUGACUCCAGUCAAGGAUUUUUCUUCCCCACCAACGCACGCCACUCCUCCGGCGACGAUAUUACUUCCAACUCCAGAUUCGAGACAUGCUAACGAAGUGAGUGACCAUGAGGAGGACAGGGAAGAAGAGAUCCACGAUGAAGGGAACCCGACUGUUGAUGAUGAACCAGAUGAGAAAGGAGAUGAUUUUGCAGAGGAUGAGGGUUUAGCUCCACUCUAACAACACCUGAGCUCAUCACGCACAAACGUGGGGGGCGUUUCAAGACCAGCAUAUCACGGGAAGUCCACAUCACCAACCACCUCCUGCAUUUUGCCCAGAUUUUUAUUGGCUACAAUCUGAUGGGACAGGUCAGCUCCACUCUAACAACACUUGAGCUUUAUUUCACCUAGUGUAUGUUAAAGGGUGUGAAGGUCCACCUCGGCUACUGGUCGGCUCAAGCGUGCCAUUUGAUGACUACCCACACGUCGCGCCAUCUCUAUACGUGCCAUCUUCUCGGGGCAUAUCUACAGCGGAACAUCAAGAUAAAAAUCGCAAAGUCAGUACCACCUCUAAAAAUGUGUAACACCCCGGAGCAGUUUAAUGUGGAUUUCUUCUUUAACAAAGGGUUGUUAUACAUGAAAGACGACGAAAUCUACUUCUAUGAGGUGGGGCAGACGGAAGCAGCCAUUAGAGUGGAAGGGAGUUCGGCGACGGAGACGGUCACAAUGGAAUAGAAGAAGGAACUGGAAGGAGUGAGGGCCGACAUACAGGAUAUCAAAACUGAGUUAUCAGCAUUGACCUCCAUGGUUCUAGGGCUGAAGGAGCCACUGGGGGUGCACAUCAAUAGAAUGACCGAAGCCCUGACCUUGGUGAUGAAAAUGGUCAACUUCGUGGAACAGAGGACACCUCAACCCCACCAAGGCCCUUCCCUAGGAACUACCCCCCAGAAAUCUGCCCCGACUGCCCCAGUGACUAUGCCAGUGAAGAAGAGAAAGGAGCCUACCCCAUCCACUACCAACGAAUCAGCCGGCACAUCAACCAAGCGACAGAAAGGAGAUGAAGAUACCACCACCACCACCACCACCACCACUGUUCUUGCGAGGAGAGAAAUCCCGAGGCCAAGCCAGCCCAAGGCCAGGAUGGAUGCAACACCACCAUCCCCAGAGGAGUAGCACAGAAGUCUGGUCCCCGCAGGGGCCAGGGACAGAAUUGAUCUGACACCCCUCGAGUAACCAAGUGCGUGAAAAAUCUGCCAGGCCCAGGAAGGGGGAGCAAUCACCAGGGCAGAGAAAAUAGAAGAGAAAAAGUGAAGAAAAAGAGCGAAAUCCUUAAGGGCACAAUUGUCAAAUCAUGAAGUCUGUUGCCCUAGGAAUUUGAGCCACGCCUAUAAAUACAAGGAAGCUAAAGAAAAGAGAGGAGACACUUAGUUAGAAAAUUUCCUUAGGUAUUUCGACUCACUCUAAAAAAUUCUCUCACUUAGUUCACGCACUUGAUUCCAUGGGAGAUCUGGGGUAGUUUAGUGUGGUGUUUUGUUCAGUUUGGAAGUGUAACACCGCUCCUAUAGGGAGCGAAGAAACAAUUUACUUUUCGCACAUACUCUAUCUCGUCGAUUUCCGUGCCUGAAAUUCGGCGAUUGUUUUGUGACAUGAUUUGCAGUUUAUGGUUAAUCUAGUUUCGUAUUCAGUUUGUUUUGGAUCUGAUGCUUACUGUUCUGUUUACUAAGUUGGAUGCUUUUCGAAUUGAAUUGUAGAUCGAAGUUGAGAUCGUUGAGAUCGGAGUGGAUCUAUUGAAUCGGAGUUGAAAUGGUGUUGGAAGUUGUGGAUCUGAUUUAGUUGGUGAUGAAUCUGAUAGAUCUAGCUUAAAUUUCUUUUAACUGUUUGAAUCUUUGUACGUAAGUUUGGAUCUGCAUGGGAAACGUUGCUAUUGCUGAUUACUUGGUCCAGUAGAUUAGAUCUGAUAGUUCUUAGUUUAAUCUUAGCGUUCGUUGUUUGAUUUGAAGUAUGCUCUGUUUCAUGUCCUGUUUUGUUCAUUUCGUGUUUGAUUGUUGAAGAAGAUGAAGUCGAUCAGUAGUUAUAGUCGAGUUUGCUUUAGUUUGUUAAUCGCAGCUUUCUGUUAGUAGCUAGGUAGGGAAAUCUGUUUUGUCGCUUACUUUUACAUGCUUUGUGUCUGGCUACUUUAGGAAACUCUUUUACU